CCUACGGGUGGCAGCAGUCGAGAAUCAUUCACAAUGGGGGAAACCCUGAUGGUGCGACGCCGCGUGGGUGAAUGAAGGUCUUCGGAUUGUAAACCCCUGUCAUGUGGGAGCAAAUUAAAAAGAUAGUACCACAAGAGGAAGAUACGGCUAACUCUGUGCCAGCAGCCGCGGGAAUACAGAGGUCUCAAGCGUUGUUCGGAAUCACUGGGCGUAAAGCGUGCGGAGGCUGUUUCGUAAGUCGUGUGUGAAAGGCGCGGGCUCAACCCGCGGACGGCACCUGAUACUGCGGGACUAGAGUAAUGGAGGGGGAAGCGGAAUUCUGGGUGUAGCAGUGAAAUGCGUAGAUAUCGAGAGGAACACUCGUGGCGAAGGCGGGUUCCUGGACAUUAACUGACGCUGAGGCACGAAGGCCAGGGGAGCGAAAGGGAUUAGAUACCCGUGUAGUC
rnacentral:rRNA from 1 species